rnacentral:rRNA from 1 species
AGUGAGCGCUGGCGGUAGGCCUAACACAUGCAAGUCGAACGGCAGCACAGUAAGAGCUUGCUCUUACGGGUGGCGAGUGGCGGACGGGUGAGGAAUACAUCGGAAUCUACUUUUUCGUGGGGGAUAACGUAGGGAAACUUACGCUAAUACCGCAUACGACCUACGGGUGAAAGCAGGGGAUCUUCGGACCUUGCGCGAUUGAAUGAGCCGAUGUCGGAUUAGCUAGUUGGCGGGGUAAAGGCCCACCAAGGCGACGAUCCGUAGCUGGUCUGAGGGGAUGAUCAGCCACACUGGAACUGAGACACGGUACAGACUCCUACGGGAGGCAGCAGUGGGGAAGAUUGGACAAGGGGCGCAAGCCUGAUCCAGCCAUACCGCGUGGGUGAAGAAGGCCUGCGGGUUGUAAAGCCCUUUUGUUGGGAAAGAAAAGCAGCAGGUUAAUACCCCGCUGUUCGGACGGUACCCAAAGAAUAAGCACCGGCUAACUUCGU